UACGUAGGCAGCGAGCGUUGUUCGGAGUUACUGGGCGUAAAGCGUGCGUAGGCGGUCUUUUAAGUUUGGUGUGAAAUCUCCCGGCUUAACCGGGAGGGUGCGCCGAAAACUGGGAGGCUGGAGUAUGGGAGAGGUAAGCGGAAUUCCUGGUGUAGCGGUGAAAUGCGUAGAUAUCAGGAGGAACACCGGUGGUGUAGACGGCUUACUGGACCAUGACUGACGCUGAGGCACGAAAGCGUGGGGAGCAAACAGG
rnacentral:rRNA from 1 species